UGCUGACUCUGCAUGAGUGGUGGAAGUCACUGACGCAACCCUUAAGCUACGACGGGUCAGGCCCGGCUGGAGAAGCCUCCACGUCGCACUAAAUGACAGUCUUAGUGAGGUGCGCUCUUCUCAAUCUACUUUUCAGUAACUUUCAGUUAAAGAAACGCAUUUAGACAUCCUGACACUAGUCAUAGGACCAUUUGUAACAUGUAAACAAAGCAACUGAACGCUAGAAAUUCUGGCAUCCCUGGAGGUGUUAUAUAGAGGCCGGCCUCCUGCUGAGAUGAACAGUGCUCUCGUGACAGGGGGAGGGAGUACAUCACUCCUGAUAACACAGAAUAUGUUGUUGUGUGUGGUAACGGCAACAUUUAACAUUCAACACCAUGCAACACAUCAAUAUAGUCAUCAGGGUUAUGUGUAUCAAGGAAAUCAAUCAAGUCAGGUGUGUUUGACGGUCAGGACAAGCACUCCUGCAGGGAGCAGACGCAGCAGGUGUGGGUAUAGCGGCUCGUGCGACCUCGACCCGUGAAGAGAAAUCCAAGAUGUGACUUUGGAUAGCAGGUGUGUGGAAGGCGGACGCUUACAUCUGAACCUGAAUGCUGAGCGCCCUACAGGGGGAGCGUAGGAUAGCUGGUCCCUGUAUAACGGCCGACAUACAGGAUCUGUACUACAUAUCCAAGAUGUGACAUUGGAUAACAGGCCCUUGGACGACGGACGAUUACACUUCGACCUUCCAUAAAGUGCCAGAAGGUGACAAACCUCCGACAAGAUGACAAGUCCCAACCAAGAACUUCCAGUUCCAAAAACCUUCCACCUACAGAAAUGACCAACCUUCCUAAUCUGCCUCCGACGACAGGGGCCCUCAACACAGGGGCCGUUCGCCAGGACCCAGCUGAAGGGGCCAAGAUGUGACAUUGGCACCGGAUCCUGGUGAGGCCCCCGUGCCUCUCGGCCCUGUUAGAGAAGGCACUGAGGAACCCCAGAGGAAAGAACUCCUAAAUUUAUAAUAUUUUGCCACUGGUGUGACCCAUAGCAUGUCAGACAACCUAGGUUGGACCCUUGAGAUAGAUGUAUCUAUCUCUGGACCGUUUACAAGGAAAACGUACCAAAUUUUUAAAUUAAAAUAUGAAAGUAUAAACAAUUUAAUAACAUUAGUUUUUAUAGAAAACCUGUUCUGAGCAUAUGCAGUAUUUAAAACAAAUGAAAUGUGAA